UUUCUGUAUUGAACUCCUCAGGCAUACAUUUGAUCAGAAAAGAAUGAAGCAGCCUCUGUACCGCCACCCUUGGGAAGAUGUUCUCUAUACCAAGUAAUUAAACUAUUUAUUGAAACCAAUAACGUUAUAUUUUCCCUUCUGCAUUAUUGCUACAGACAAUUUUAGCUUUGCCCACUAUAAGUUAAAAUAGCACAUUCUAGAAAGCAAAUUCUGGGUAGAUUUUGGCAAGUAUCGACCUUUGCUUUUGUUUUGAUUUCACUGGAUGCCUUUAAUAUUUAUUCGUAAUUUUAUUCAAUUUACUUGGUUCAAAUAAAAGUAUAAAACUAAGUAUUGUUGUAUUUUAGUUAUUAAUUAGUGUUUGAGUUGAAACGUUAAAUAAAUUGGGUAGAAAGUAGAAUUCAGGAGUCAAUGGUAAUUAAUUAGUCAAAUACUCAAAUUUAGUUAGCAAGGAUUGAAUUGUUUAGGCUCUAUUUAAACAUGUAAGAUCAUGCAGAACUAACCUCAGGUGAGAUUCAAUUUAAGAUUUCAGCGCGCCCUCUUUUAUUUAUCGAAAUCUUCUCCAUUUUAAAAUUAAAUAACAAUUAAUAUUGAGAAUCUUUGAAUCAAAAAUCAAAAGUGCGAUCAUUAGAUAUCUUACAAUACAUAUCUCAGUAGAAGCUUGCCCAGCCCAAAUUCACUCGGCUAAGAACUCAGAAGUAUAAAUAUUUUUAACAAUAUAAGAUAUCAUAUUUCAGAUAUUCAUAAGAUAUCUCUAUUAAUUCUCUACCGUCUAUGUAUUUUCAUUAAAAUUUAAUGAUACAUAGAGUCAUAGAGAUUGUGUCAAACUUAUAAUUAAAAAAUAAAAAUGAUUAAAUAAUCUCUUACGAUCCUUGAAUUCCUCUUAGAUCGAGCUAAGUUGAUUGAUAAACGCUGAAAGCAUCCUCCUUAAUUUCUCUCGAUUGACAGACCAUUUACAUUUUGACAAAUAGAUUCAUGUGAAUAUGCCAUGAUUGAUGGGUAGUAAAUCAAACAAAUAAUCGACCAUAAGAAAACGAAGCUACACCUACCCUUACAUUUAUUGAUAACAUACGCUUAAAUAAAGUCAAAUACUUACGAUAAUAAUAUAUAUAUAACCAGAUAAAACAACGCGUACGUGUCUUACACACUUCAAACUUAUCUUAUCCAAAAUCAAAUUCAGAGUUCACACGUCCAAUUUUCAAUAAUCUUCCGGAUUUCUUGUGGACCGCUAGCUGUACAAACAACGAAGUCGAUCGAUUAUCA
rnacentral:lncRNA from 1 species